rnacentral:rRNA from 1 species
GAUGAACGCUAGCGGCAGGCCUAAUACAUGCAAGUCGAACGAGAUUAAGAGGCUUGCUUCUUAUGAAAGUGGCGCACGGGUGCGUAACGCGUAUGCAACCUACCUUAAUCAGGGGGAUAGCCCGAAGAAAUUCGGAUUAAGACCGCAUAAAAACACAGGAUAGCAUUAUCCAAUGUUCAAAUAUUUAUAGGAUUAAGAUGGGCAUGCGUGUCAUUAGCUAGUUGGCGGGGUAACGGCCCACCAAGGCGACGAUGACUAGGGGAUCUGAGAGGAUGACCCCCCAGACUGGUACUGAGACACGGACCAGACUCCUACGGGAGGCAGCAGUAAGGAAUAUUGGUCAAUGGAGGGAACUCUGAUCCAGCCAUGCCGCGUGCAGGAAGGCAGCCCUCUGGGUCGUAAACUGCUUUUAUUCGGGAAUAGACCUUUCUACGGGUAGGAAGCUGAAUGUACCGAAGGAAUAAGGAUCGGCUAACUCCGUG